UACGUAGGGGGCAAGCGUUGUCCGGAUUUACUGGGCGUAAAGGGCGCGUAGGCGGUCAGCACAAGUCAGCUGUGAAAUCCCCGGGCUCAACCUGGGCACUGCAGUUGAAACUGGCAAGCUAGAGUAGGGUAGAGGGGUGUGGAAUUCCAGGUGUAGCGGUGAAAUGCGUAGAUAUCUGGAGGAACAUCAGUGGCGAAGGCGACACCCUGGACUCAUACUGACACUGAGGUGCGAAAGCGUGGGGAGCAAACAGG
rnacentral:rRNA from 1 species